rnacentral:lncRNA from 10 species
CUCUCUCGCCGGGCGCCCACAGAUCAGCCUCUGGGCUCCUAACUAACCCUUUCCGCCCCGCGCCUCCUCGAUUCCCCGGCUACUGCUGCACCCUUUGCUUUAACUGCUGUUUGAGUUGUUUUACUCCAGCCAGCUAAUUUUACAAAUAAGGAAACCGAGGCUCGGAGAAUUAGGUGCAAGAAUCCAGUGCCUACACCCGGCCUCCCGACUCCCUUCAGUGUACUCUACGCUCCAAUCUGCCUCCUUUAAAAAAUAAUGAUAAUAGUUAACAUUUAUUGAACGCUUACUACGUGGUAGGCACUGUAUUAAGUCCCUUCGGGUGCAUUAACUUAUUUAAUCAUCCCCAAACUCCUUGGGGUUGGUGCUAUUAUCUACGUCUUGCAGGGGAGAAAAACGGUCAAAGAUACCAAACCCAAUCUCACAAAUGUUGGUUGAUUUUAAUUCACGUGUGUAUAAAUCUCAUCUACCUAUACCAAGAUUUUGAAAUUAUUUAAAAACAGGGCUCAAACUAUAUUCCUAUAUUCUGUCAUCACUGGUG